rnacentral:rRNA from 1 species
CUCGUAGGCGGUUCGUCGCGUCCGGUGUGAAAGUCCAUCGCUUAACGGUGGAUCCGCGCCGGGUACGGGCGGGCUUGAGUGCGGUAGGGGAGACUGGAAUUCCCGGUGUAACGGUGGAAUGUGUAGAUAUCAGGAAGAACACCGAUGGCGAAGGCAGCCAACUGGGGACUAACUGACGCUGAGGCUCGAAGGCGCGGGUAGCAAACA